GAUGAACGCUUGCGGCGUGCCUAAUACAUGCAAGUCGAGCGAACAGACGAGGAGCUUGCUCCUUCGACGUUAGCGGCGGACGGGUGAGUAACACGUAGGUAACCUACCUAUAAGACUGGGAUAACUUCGGGAAACCGGAGCUAAUACCGGAUAAUAUUUCGAACCGCAUGGUUCGAUAGUGAAAGAUGGCUUUGCUAUCACUUAUAGAUGGACCUGCGCCGUAUUAGCUAGUUGGUAAGGUAACGGCUUACCAAGGCAACGAUACGUAGCCGACCUGAGAGGGUGAUCGGCCACACUGGAACUGAGACACGGUCCAGACUCCUACGGGAGGCAGCAGUAGGGAAUCUUCCGCAAUGGGCGAAAGCCUGACGGAGCAACGCCGCGUGAGUGAUGAAGGUCUUCGGAUCGUAAAACUCUGUUAUUAGGGAAGAACAAACGUGUAAGUAACUGUGCACGUCUUGACGGUACCUAAUCAGAAAGCCACGGCUAACUACGUG
rnacentral:rRNA from 1 species